CCUCGGGGGUGCAGCAGUGGGGAAUAUUGGACAAUGGGCGAAAGCCUGAUCCAGCCAUGCCGCGUGUGUGAAGAAGGCCUUCGGGUUGUAAAGCACUUUCAGUGGGGAAGAAAGCCUUGGGGCUAAUACCCUCGAGGAAGGACAUCACCCACAGAAGAAGCACCGGCUAACUCCGUGCCAGCAGCCGCGGUAAUACGGAGGGUGCGAGCGUUAAUCGGAAUUACUGGGCGUAAAGCGCGCGUAGGCGGUCUGAUAAGCCGGUUGUGAAAGCCCCGGGCUCAACCUGGGAACGGCAUCCGGAACUGUCAGGCUAGAGUGCAGGAGAGGAAGGUAGAAUUCCCGGUGUAGCGGUGAAAUGCGUAGAGAUCGGGAGGAAUACCAGUGGCGAAGGCGGCCUUCUGGACUGACACUGACGCUGAGGUGCGAAAGCGUGGGUAGCAAACAGGAUUAGAUACCCCGGUAGUC
rnacentral:rRNA from 1 species